CCCCAGGUAGCUCAGUUGGUCGAGCAAGAGACUCUUAAUCUCAGGGUCGUGGGUUUGAGCCCUACCUUGGGCA
rnacentral:tRNA from 1 species